rnacentral:rRNA from 1 species
AUGAACGCUAGCUACAGGCUUAACACAUGCAAGUCGAGGGGCAGCAUGUGGUUGCUUGCAACCAAUGAUGGCGACCGGCGCACGGGUGAGUAACGCGUAUCCAACCUGGCCCGCAGUAGGGAACAGCCCGGCGAAAGUCGGAUUAAUGCCCUAUGUCUUCCUUUGCAGGCAUCCAAUGAGGAAGAAAGAUUUAUCGCUGCGGGAUGGGGAUGCGUCUGAUUAGCUUGUCGGCGGGGUAACGGCCCACCGAGGCGACGAUCAGUAGGGGUUCUGAGAGGAAGGUCCCCCACACUGGUACUGAGACACGGACCAGACUCCUACGGGAGGCAGCAGUGAGGAAUAUUGGUCAAUGGGCGAGAGCCUGAACCAGCCAAGUAGCGUGCAGGAACCGACUGCCCUAUGGGUUGUAAACUGCUUUUAUGCGGGGAUAAACUUCAGCACGUGUGCUGUUUUGCAGGUACCGCAUGAAUAAGGACCGGCUAAUUCCGUGCCAGCAGCGGC